GAGUUUGAUCUUGGCUCAGAUUGAACGCUGGCGGCAUGCCUUACACAUGCAAGUCGAACGGCAGCAUGAUCUAGCUUGCUAGAUUGAUGGCGAGUGGCGAACGGGUGAGUAAUACAUCGGAACGUGCCCUGUAGUGGGGGAUAACUAGUCGAAAGAUUAGCUAAUACCGCAUACGACCUGAGGGUGAAAGUGGGGGACCGCAAGGCCUCAUGCUAUAGGAGCGGCCGAUGUCUGAUUAGCUAGUUGGUGGGUAAAGGCCCACCAAGGCGACGAUCAGUAGCUGGUCUGAGAGGACGAUCAGCCACACUGGGACUGAGACACGGCCCAGACCCCUACGGAGGCAGCAGUGGGGAAUUUGGACAAUGGCGAAAGCCUGAUCCAGCAAUGCCGCGUGUGUGAAGAAGGCCU
rnacentral:rRNA from 1 species